AGAAUACAGAGAGCGUAUUGCCACAAGUCUGCAAAAUCAUUCACAUACCUGAAAAGCCAUCCUUUCUUCCUCACCUCCAACCCACGGUUAACAUGUUUGCUUCUGUCAUUGAACCCAAAGAUGCCAAUACUCUAGUCAGGAAGUUAAAUAAGAUUGCACCACUGGAAAAUUUGCAACAUGUGAAGCGUGUGCAGAGGAAAAGCAU
rnacentral:misc_RNA from 1 species